GAAGCAGGCCAGACAAUCGCUGGUCGCCAUGUUUUGCAUGGCGGCGGGAGGAAGGUCCGGACUCCAUAGAGCAGGGUGACGGCUAACGGCCGUACGUUGAAAGCCAAAGCGCAAGCCGAGGUAUAAGGCGAGGAAUAGGGCCACAGAGACGAGCGUAUUAAGUUACGGUGAAACGCGGUAACCUCCACCCGGAGCAAUUUCAAAUAGGCACGCGUUGAGGCGGCUCGCGGAGCGUGCGGGUAGAAAGCUUGAGCGGCGGAGCAAUCCGUCGCCUAGAGGAAUGAUUGUCAUAGCAGAGGGCAGCAAUGCCUGAGCCGUAACAGAAUCCGGCCUACCGGCCUGCUUCAUUU
rnacentral:RNase_P_RNA from 1 species